CGUGUCGUGAGAUGUUGGGUUAAGUCCCGCAACGAGCGCAACCCUUGACCUUAGUUGCCAGCAUUGAGUUGGGCACUCUAAGGUGACUGCCGGUGACAAACCGGAGGAAGGUGGGGAUGACGUCAAAUCAUCAUGCCCCUUAUGACCUGGGCUACACACGUGCUACAAUGGAUGGUACAAAGGGCUGCGAGACCGCGAGGUUAAGCCAAUCCCAGAAAACCAUUCCCAGUUCGGAUUGCAGGCUGCAACCCGCCUGCAUGAAGCCGGAAUCGCUAGUAAUCGCGGAUCAGCAUGCCGCGGUGAAUACGUUCCCGGGCCUUGUACACACCGCCCGUCACACCACGAGAGUUUGUAACACCCGAGGUCGGUGAGGUAACCUUUACGGAGCCAGCCGCCGAAGGUGGGACAGAUGAUUGGGGU
rnacentral:rRNA from 1 species